CUGUAGGAAAGUAUGGCAUUUCUUUUUAGAAUCAGUUCUAUUUUAUCUUAUACUUGUGUAGAAUAUUUCUUUAGAAAAGCAAAGAGGAAUACCAGCAGCAAAGCUGGAUACAGGAUGAAUGUGGGAUAAAUUCUUCCUGGUUCUUAAAGUCAGUUGAAUCGCACAAUUUUUUCUCAGCAGUUGCAAGAAUUACAGACUACCUGCUUACUGCUGGUCUGGGAUGUGGCUGCUUAAAGAAUGAAAUCUCAUGACCUGCUGUGGUUAUACCCAGGUGCUGGUGCGAAUGGUCAUUAUCCUGCCUGGCUGGAAGGUCCCUGGAGGGGGAUUUGUGGCAGCAGAAUUCUCACAUUCUCUAGGUGCUGAGGAUCAUUCACUCUGAGGAAGCCAGCUGCCACAUCACGAAGAUCCUCUGGCUAUACUAUGAAGAAACUCCCAUGACAAGGAUCUAAGGCCUCGUGGCCUUAAAAGCCAUGAGAGGGAGCAUCUUGGAGCUGAUCCUCUAUACCCAGCCUUCAGGGGACUGCAGACUGCAAGGCAACAGCUUAACUGGGAGGCCCUGAAUUGGAACCAUCCAACUACCCAGCUGUGCUGCUCUGGGAUCCCUGAACAUCAGAGACUGCCCACUGGCUCUCACCAUUUAUGGAAUUGCCUUGGCUACUCAAGGGACCAGAUGUUCCCUGGGGUUGUGACCCACUGCUCCUGCAUUUAGCCUCCUGGCUGGCUGCUUGCUUGCUUGGACUCAGCCCAGUACAGAUGGCAUUACUGCUAAAUCAGAGAGAAUGACACUCGGUUUCCUGGUCCUCCUUCAAGUUGCUACUUUGUUGGCAGUCAGAGACCUCUAACUCCUUACGGAAGGUGUGGUAUUGAGGAGAAAAGAAGUAACACCAGUGUGAGUUAAGAGGAACAGGGUUUGGUCAGCCUCCGGAGACUGUGGUCAUCUGGAGUUAAUCAUAAAGUGUGUCCUCCUUCUCAAAUGAAGCACUGUUUUCAGAGCUCAUUUAUCUCGAUGACUUCAACUAUUGAGAGUGCUGUCGGGCCCCUGCUGAAGUUCUCUGUUCUGUCUGGGAAGCAGAAACUGAAGUGCAGGUGUCUCCAGCGUUCCUUCCUCUGCCCCUGCCUGGCCGAUCAGCAGCCCCCUUCUGGUGUAGCAGUUGCAGUGUCUCCGUGCAAAGGGACAAUGCUUAGGGCCCAUGGGGGCCUUAAGGACGUUGGUUUUGUCAUCAGUCAGAUGUUACAAUUCUGGUCGUAUUUUUUCUAGCUUUAUAAUAUGAUGCAAGUCACAACUGGUUUGACCUUUGGUUUCCAGUAAAAUUGAAAUAAUAAAACCUCAUGAUUAUUAUUGUGAGAAUUAAAUGGAUAAUGUACAAUGAACUGGGCAUAAUUCUGGCACACAGAACAUAGAAGCUCAAUCCAGCUAUUUCUUCAGAACAGUGCAGGGGGGUUCUUCACUCUCAAAUAAUGAAAGCCUAAAAGCACAUCAUUAGCGAUUUCUUCUUUGGAAAAAAUGUUUCAUUUGCAGUCCUUGACAGAAAUGAAUAAACUCUGAGGUCAUUGUAUCCAUCAGGGUUUUAUAGGAAAUAGAUGGCAUACUCAAAAAGUUUUAACUAAAGAGAUUUUAAUAAAAGGUAUGAACAGAAUUGAAGAAACUCAUAAAAGACGAGGAAGCACUCAGGGCCCAACAGCAGGAAAAAUAAAACAGUGCAAU
ensembl:lncRNA